UUACGGCCACAUCACGUUGAAAUACCGGCUCCCGUACAAUCAUCGAAGUUAAGCAACGUCGAAGCUGAUCAGUAUCUAGAUGGGUGACCGCUUGGGAAUACUAGGU